rnacentral:rRNA from 1 species
UACAGAGGGGGCAAGCGUUGUUCGGAAUUACUGGGCGUAAAGGGCGCGUAGGCGGCCGCCUAAGUCAGACGUGAAAUCCCUCGGCUCAACCGGGGAACUGCGUCUGAUACUGGGUGGCUUGAAUUCGGGAGAGGGAUGCGGAAUUCCAGGUGUAGCGGUGAAAUGCGUAGAUAUCUGGAGGAACACCGGUGGCGAAGGCGGCAUCCUGGACCGAAACUGACACUGAGGCGCGAAAGCUAGGGGAGCAAACGGG